CCUACGGGAGGCAGCAGUAGGGAAUAUUGCUCAAUGGGGGAAACCCUGAAGCAGCAACGCCGCGUGGAGGAUGAAGGUUCUCGGAGUGUAAAAUCCUUUUGUUAGAGAAGAUAAUGACGGUAUCUAACGAAUAAGCACCGGCUAACUCCGUGCCAGCAGCCGCGGUAAUACGGAGGGUGCAAGCGUUACUCGGAAUCACUGGGCGUAAAGAGCGCGUAGGCGGGUUAGCAAGUCAGAUGUGAAAUCCUAUGGCUUAACCAUAGAACUGCAUUUGAAACUGUUAGUCUAGAGUAUGGGAGAGGUAGGUGGAAUGCAUGGUGUAGGGGUAAAAUCCGUAGAGAUCAAGAGGAAUACUGAUUGCGAAGGCGACCUGCUAGAACAUAACUGACGCUGAUGCGCGAAAGCGUGGGGAGCAAACAGGAUUAGAUACCCGAGUAGUC
rnacentral:rRNA from 1 species